GGGCCCUACGGGACGCAGCAGUGAGGAAUAUUGGUCAAUGGUCGGGAGACUGAACCAGCCAAGCCGCGUGAGGGAUGAAGGUACAGAGUAUCGUAAACCUCUUUCGUCAGGGAACAAAGGCGGGGACGCGUCCCCGGAUGAGUAUACCUGAAGAAAAAGCAUCGGCUAACUCCGUGCCAGCAGCCGCGGUAAUACGGAGGAUGCGAGCGUUAUCCGGAUUUAUUGGGUUUAAAGGGUGCGCAGGCGGUCUGUUAAGUCAGCGGUCAAAGCCCGGGG
rnacentral:rRNA from 1 species